ACGAGCUGAGGCCUUUGGGUCACCUCCCACCCGUGUUUAUUUUACCUUGUUGCUUCGGCGGGCCCGCCUUUACUGGCCGCCGGGGGGCUCACGCCCCCGGGCCCGCGCCCGCCGAAGACACCCCCGAACUCUGUCUGAAGAUUGAAGUCUGAGUGAAAAUAUAAAUUAUUUAAAACUUUCAACAACGGAUCUCUUGGUUCCGGCAUCGAUGAAGAACGCAGCGAAAUGCGAUACGUAAUGUGAAUUGCAAAUUCAGUGAAUCAUCGAGUCUUUGAACGCACAUUGCGCCCCCUGGUAUUCCGGGGGGCAUGCCUGUCCGAGCGUCAUUGCUGCCCUCAAGCCCGGCUUGUGUGUUGGGCCCCGUCCUCCGAUUCCGGGGGACGGGCCCGAAAGGCAGCGGCGGCACCGCGUCCGGUCCUCGAGCGUAUGGGGCUUUGUCACCCGCUCUGUAGGCCCGGCCGGCGCUUGCCGAUCAACCCAAAUUUUUAUCCAGGUUGACCUCGGAUCAGGUAGGGAUACCCGCUGAACUUAAGCAUAUCAA
rnacentral:rRNA from 1 species